AACAGGGGAGAGUCAGGGAAAUAUCCCAACUGAGCUGAGUCCUCAGGCCCAAGUAGCUUGUGGCCACACGGAGGGAUGGGUGGCAGGGGCAGGUGUUGGAGGCAGGGUCUUUGCUGGCGCACAUGGUACCUUUGUGAGAAUUAAACCAAGGUCGCUCUCUAGGAAUAUGCAAACCCCGGCCCAUGCACACAGCUUGAUGAGCAGAGCCUGGCCUGGAUCAGAGCCUUAGCCUGGUCUCUCCAUCAGCCAUUAUCCUGCCUAUCCCAGUGUGGAGGCACCGGCACAUGCCUAAGCUCAGAAUCAUGGUAUCCAAGAUGUCCAUGUUCUAAUUCCCCGAACAUGUGACUGAGCUACUUGACAUGGUAAAUAAAAGAGGCUUUGCAGAUGUAAUUAAAUUAAGACUCUUGAGAUGGGAGAUUAUCCUGGAUUAUCUGGGGUUGGCCCUAAUGCAAUCAUCAGGGCCUUUAUCAGACAGAAGCAGGAGUGUCGGAGAGGUCCAACAGAGAAAUAGACCAGAGUUGAAGGUGCUACCUUGCUGGUGUUGAAGAUGGAGGAAGGAGCCACGUAUCAAGGAAUCAGGUGGCAUUUUGAAGCCAGAAAAGGGACUCUUGCUAUUGGAAUCCAGGCACCAUGCUGUGAGAAAGUCCAGGCCGCACGGAGAGGCCACAUAUAAGGUGUUCUGGUCCAUAGCUCCUACUAAGUGCUAGCUGGCCCCCAGCACCAGCCACCAACCAUGUGAGUUAGGAGACAUGCCAGAUGACUCUAGACCAUCUGACUGCACCUUCAUGAAGGACCCUGAAUGAGAAACACCCAGCUGAGCCUGGCUGACCCUGAGAACUGCGAGAGAUAAUAAUAAAAUGAUCAUCAUUGUUUAAAGCCA